UACGGGGGGGCAAGCGUUGUUCGGAAUUACUGGGCGUAAAGGGCUCGUAGGUGGUCAACUAAGUCGGACGUGAAAUCCCUCGGCUUAACCGGGGAACUGCGUCCGAUACUGGAUGACUUGAGUUCGGGAGAGGGAUGCGGAAUUCCAGGUGUAGCGGUGGAAUGCGCAGAUAUCAGGAGGAACACCAAUAGCGAAGGCAGCUCGCUGGGACGGUAGCUGACGCUCAGGCGCGAA
rnacentral:rRNA from 1 species